UCAAGUUAUUAAUGGUUUACGGUGGAUGCCUUGGGGCCAAGGGCCGAUGAAGGGCGCGGCAAGACUGCGAUAAGCCUCGGUUAGCUGUCUAGCGAGCUUAGCCGGGGGUUCCCGAAUGAGGAAAAUCAUCCUGGGUCAUACCAGGAUACUCCGUAAGGAGAGGUAAGUGGGUGAAGUGAAACAUCUCAGUAACCCGAGGAAAAUAAAUCAACCGAGAUUCCCUUAGUAGCGGCGAGCGAAAGGGGAACUAGCCCAAACCAGUCAGACUUAGUGGAUUGAGGUCCUAUGCCUGUCUGGGGUUGUAACGAAUAUCUGUCUGAACCUCGAAUAAGACAAGGAGUAAGAAACCUUAAUUCUAACCAAAAGAAUCUGGAAAGAACUACCAUAGAGGGUAAUAGUCCCGUAGGUGAAAGAUGAGAGGCUCCUGAUAUUUUGUUGAGUACGGCGGGACACGAGAAAUCUUGCCGGAAGCUGGGGGGACCACCCUCCAAGGCUAAAUACUCUUGGCCACCGAUAGUGAACAAGUACCGUGAGGGAAAGGUGAAAAGUACCCCGGGAGGGGAGUGAAAUAGACCUGAAACCGUAAACCUACAAGCCGUGGAAGGUACAAUUUAUUGUACUGACUGCGUGCCUAUUGAAGAAUGAGCCGGCGAGUUAAUUUAGAUAGCAAGGUUAAGGGAUAAAAGUUCUGGAGCCGAAGCGAAAGCGAGUCCGAAUAGGGCGUUUAGUUGUCUGGAUUAGACCCGAAACCGGGUGAGCUACCCAUGGCCAGGUUGAAGCGCGGCUAAACCCGCGUGAAGGACCGAACCCGUGUCUGGUACAAAGGCUGGGAUGAGCUGUGGGUAGGGGUGAAAUGCCAAUCGAACCCGGUGAUAGCUGGUUCUCCUCGAAAUGUAUUUAGGUACAGCCUCAAGGUAGUCUUGGGGAGGUAGGGCUCUGGAUGAGCUAGGGGGCGUGAGCCUACCAACUCAACCAAACCACGAAUGCCUCAAGAUGUUCCUGGGAGUGAGACAGUGGGGGAUAAGCUUCAUUGUCAAAAGGGAAACAGCCCAGACCGCAGGCUAAGGUCCCAAAGUGUAGACUAAGUGGGAAAGGAAGUGGGAUUCCACAAACAGCUGGCAGGUUGGCUUAGAGGCAGCCAUCCUUUAAAGAGUGCGUAAUAGCUCACCAGUCGAGGGACCCUGCGCCGAAAAUGUAACGGGGCUAAAGUCUACCACCGAAGCCGCGGGCUCUGCAUUUGCAGAGCGGUAGAGGAGCGUUGCCAGUGCGUCGAAGUUAACGUGUGAACGUUGGUGGAGCGCUGGGAAGUGAGAAUGCCGGCAUGAGUAGCGACAAUUCUGGUGAGAAUCCAGGACACCGAAAGACUAAGGUUUCCUCUGCAACGCUGAUCGGCAGAGGGUAAGUCGGGCCUAAGCUGUAGCGAGUAAGCGAAAGCGAUGGACAGCAGGUCAAAAUUCCUGCACCGCUAAUAUAUCGUUAUGCAAAGGGGUGACGCGGACAGGUAGGCGGAGCGCGCCAAUGGACAUGGUGCGUUUCAUCCAAAGAAGGCCAUGUAGAGAUAGGAAAAUCCGUUUUUACGUUAUGAGCUGAGAGGAUGGAAAAUCACAGGGCAUUAGCCCUGGGAAAUUUCGUUGAUCCUAUGCCGCCAAGAAAACCCUCGUUGAUAGAUAUUCUGGCGCCCGUACCGCAAACCGACACUGGUAGUCUGGGGUAAAUGUCCCAAGGUGUCCGAGAGAACCUUCGUUAAGGAAUUCGACAACUUAGCCCUGUAACUUAGGGAGAAAGGGUACCCGUGUGGUGAUACCACUUGCUGGUUGAGCUAUCGCGGGUCGCAGUUAAGAGGCUCAGGCGACUGUUUAGCAAAAACACAGGUCUCUGCAAAGCUGAAAAGCGAAGUAUAGGGGCUGACGCCUGCCCAGUGCCGGAAGGUUAAGGAGCGAGGUUAGGUCUUUAAGACCGAAGCUUUAAACUGAAGCCCCGGUGAACGGCGGCCGUAACUCUAACGGUCCUAAGGUAGCGAAAUCCCUUGUCGGGUAAGUUCCGACCCGCACGAAUGGCGUAACGACCUGAGCGUUGUCUCAACGAAGGACUCGGUGAAAUUGCAAUACCCGUGAAGAUGCGGGUUACCCGCGACAGGACAAAAAGACCCCGUGGAGCUUUACUGUGGGCUUGGCAGUGAAUUGUGGCCAUAGAUGUGUAGGAUAGUCGGGAGACUAUGAAAUUUGAACGCCAGUUCAGAUGGAGUCAACCUUGAAAUACCGAUCUUCUUGUUUGCGGUUCUAACUUCGCAUAGCGAAGGACCCUGCCUGGUGGGCAGUUUGACUGGGGCGGUCGCCUCCCAAAAGGUAACGGAGGCCCCCCAAAGGUUCCCUCAAGGUGAAUGGAAACCACCUUUAGAGUGCAUUGGCAUAAGGGAGCUUGACUGCGAGACCUACAAGUCGAGCAGAGACGAAAGUCGGGCAAAGUGAUCCCACGGUCCCGUGUGGAAGGGCCGUGGCUUAACGGAUAAAAGCUACCCCCCGGGGGUAACAGGCUAAUCACGCCCAAGAGUUCACAUCGACGGCGUGGUUUGGCACCUCGAUGUCGGCUCGCCGCAUCCUGGGGCUGAAGAAGGUCCCAAGGGUCCGUCUGUUCGCCGGUGAAAGCGGCACGCGAGCUGGGUUCAGAACGUCGUGAGACAGUUCGGUCUCUAUCCGUCGUGGGCGAGGAAAUUUGAGGAGAGCUUUCCCUAGUUUCGAGAGGAAACCAGGAAGGACAGACCUCUGGUGUACCGGUUGUUCCGCCAAGGGCAUCGCCGGGUAGCCAAGUCUGGAUGUGAUAAGCGCUGAAAGCAUCUAAGCGCGAAGCCAACUCCAAGAUUAGAUUUCCCAUCCUGCUUAGCAGGAGUAAGGCCCCUUGAAGACUACAAGGUUGAUAGGCCGCAGGUGUAAGUUCCGUAAGGAAUUCAGCUGAGCGGUACUAAUAGGCCGAGGACUUGACC
rnacentral:rRNA from 1 species